rnacentral:sRNA from 1 species
AGGUAAAAUAUAAGUGUACUUUUUCUUAAUCUUCGAGG